GCUACUUUUAUGUCUGUUAUAGUUUAUGGGGAUAUUAUUUACAUGCAUGCUUCGGCAUCAACACUUAAAUCACCGGAUGCUACUUAUCAUUGCGCACUUAGGUUUAUUACGGGUGCUAGCACCAGAACUCACCACUCAGGUUUAUUACGGGUGCUAGCUCCAGAACUCACCACUCAGGUUUAUUACGGGUGCUAGCUCCAGAACUCACCACUCAGGUUUAUUACGGGUGCUAGCUCCAGAACUCACCACUCAGGUUUAUUACGGGUGCUAGCUCCAGAACUCACCACUCAGGUUUAUUACGGGUGCUAGCUCCAGAACUCACCACUCAGGUUUAUUACGGGUGCUAGCUCCAGAACUCACCACUCAGGUUUAUUACGGGUGCUAGCUCCAGAACUCACCACUCAGGUUUAUUACGGGUGCUAGCUCCAGAACUCACCACUCAGGUUUAUUACGGGUGCUAGCUCCAGAACUCACCACUCAGGUUUAUUACGGGUGCUAGCUCCAGAACUCACCACUCAGGUUUAUUACGGGUGCUAGCUCCAGAACUCACCACUGUGUUUAAUAUCAUAAUGUGGGUUGGACUUUGCUGUCCGUGGGACGAGAACAACAUGCUCUCGUUUUUGUUUAUAAAGCACUUCUGAAUAAGCUACCUUCUUAUUUAUCAUCACUCAUCAACAUUAUAAUUAUAAUUCCUAAAACCAGGUCUCAAGCAUGGAUUACACUCGAGGCCCAUGUGAUUUCCACAGAGUUGGGUAUGGCUGCCUGUUCCCGUUAUACUCCUUGCCUGUGGAAUAAGCCUGCAGACUAAACUAAAACAUGAGACUCUUGUCCCUCUGACGCUCAUUUUAAACAUUUAUUGGAGGAUUUUUAUUUUUGUAUUGCUUGUAACUGUUUCGGGUAAUGCAAGUUCUUGUGCUGUUAGUGGGAAUAACCUGUUAGGGGAAUAACCUGUUAAAGGAAUAACCUGUUAGGGGAAUAACCUGUUAAAGGAAUAACCUGUUAGGGGAAUAACCUGUUAAAGGAAUAACCUGUUAGGGGAAUAACCUGUUAGGGGAAUAACCUGUUAGGGGAAUAACCUGUUAGGGGAAUAACCUGUUAGGGAAUAACCUGUUAGGGGAAUAACAUGUUAGGGGA